UUAAGUUCAGCGGGUAUCCCUACCUGAUCCGAGGCCAUGCUUUCGUAGACAGGCCGCCCGUCAAGGCAUCUCGCCGCAUUUCUCUGCGUUUCGAAGCCAUGACGGGCGCCGAUGUGUUUCGAAGGACCCCUGGCGGGGAACUUCAACGCAAGGCAGAGCCUUAGACACAAACGGCGCUCGAACAGGUAUACCUCAAGGAU
rnacentral:misc_RNA from 1 species